AUCUUUCCUGUAUAAGUGAGUGACAGAACAGCAAAGCUGACGAGUAUGAUCCUGGGCAGUCUGACUGUCUUCCUGGUAGCGGUCAUCAUCGGUCUGGUUGUUAAAGUCAGGAAGCUUCAGACUUCAGCUGAUGGAGAAGAACAGAAUCCAGAGCAAAGAGAGAAUGUGGAGCUGAACUACGCAGCAGUGACAUUUCAACCGAGAGCAAAAAGAAGACAGCCGGAGCCGAAUGUUAUUUAUGCUGCUACCAGAUAAGACUCAGGAGAU